rnacentral:rRNA from 1 species
UACGGAGGGUGCGAGCGUUGUCCGGAAUCACUGGGCGUAAAGGGCGCGUAGGCGGUCUGCUAAGCGUGCGGUGAAAGCCUGGGGCUCAACCCCAGGUCUGCCGUGCGAACUGGUGGACUAGAGCACUGUAGAGGCAGGUGGAAUUCCGGGUGUAGCGGUGGAAUGCGUAGAGAUCCGGAGGAACACCAGUGGCGAAGGCGGCUGCCUGGGCCUGGCCUGACGCUGAGGCGCGAAAGCGUGGGGAGCGAUCCGG